AACGAACGCUGGCGGCAUGCCAAACACAUGCAAGUCGAACGAGACCUUCGGGUCUAGUGGCGCACGGGUGCGUAACGCGUGGGAACCUGCCCUUAGGUUCGGAAUAACUCCCCGAAAGGGGUGCUAAUACCGGAUAAUGUCUUCGGACCAAAGAUUUAUCGCCUUUGGAUGGGCCCGCGUUGGAUUAGCUAGUUGGUAGGGUAAAAGCCUACCAAGGCGACGAUCCAUAGCUGGUCUGAGAGGAUGAUCAGCCACACUGGGACUGAGACACGGCCCAGACUCCUACGGGAGGCAGCAGUGGGGAAUAUUGGACAAUGGGCGAAAGCCUGAUCCAGCAAUGCCGCGUGAGUGAUGAAGGCCUUAGGGUUGUAAAGCUCUUUUACCCGGGAUGAUAAUGACAGUACCGGGAGAAUAAGCUCCGGCUAACUCCGUG
rnacentral:rRNA from 1 species